rnacentral:misc_RNA from 1 species
AACGCACCUUGCGCUCCUUGGUAUUCCGAGGAGCAUGCCUGUUUGAGUGUCAUUAAUAUAUCAACCUCCUCAGGUUUUUACUUGUCGAGUGUUUGGAUGUGGGGGUUUCUUUUGCUGGUCUCUUUCGAGAUCGGCUCCCCUGAAAUGCAUUAGCGGAACAAUUUGUUGACCCGUUCAUUGGUGUGAUAACUAUCUACGCUAUUGACGUGAAGCAGGUUCAGCUUCUAACAGUCCAUUAACUUGGACAAAUUUUCAUUAAUGUGACCUCAAAUCAGGUAGGACUACCCGCUGAACUUAA